UUCCAGACUCCUACGGGAGGCAGCAGUGGGGAAUAUUGCGCAAUGGGCGAAAGCCUGAUGCAGCGACGCCGCGUGAGUGAAGAAGUAAUUCGUUAUGUAAAGCUCUAUCAGCAGGGAAGAAAAUGACGGUACCUGAGUAAGAAGCCCCGGCUAACUACGUGCCAGCAGCCGCGGUAAUACGUAGGGGGCAAGCGUUAUCCGGAUUUACUGGGUGUAAAGGGAGCGUAGACGGUUGUAUAAGUCUGGAGUGAAAGCCCGGGGCCCAACCCCGGGACUGCUUUGGAAACUGUGUAACUUGAGUACAGGAGGGGCAGGCGGAAUUCCUGGUGUAGCGGUGAAAUGCGUAGAUAUCAGGAGGAACACCGGCGGCGAAGGCGGCCUGCUGGACUGAAACUGACGUUGAGGCUCGAAAGCGUGGGGAGCAAACAGGAUUAGAUACCCGAGUA
rnacentral:rRNA from 1 species